UCCUGGGUGAGUACAGGGCCACCCCUGUGGCCUCUAGGCAGGGGCCCGUGUCCCCUCCCAAGGCCAGGGCUGGCAGGUGUGUGGCUGUUUCCCGAUGUCUGGAAGAGGCCUCGUGCUCUGCUGGGCCCCAUCCGUGGCUGGAAGCAAGAGCCCCAGCUGCCCCCAAGGCUGUGCAGUUCUCCUGCUGCAGCCUGUCCCCACAGCUGUGUCCCUGCCUGUGCCCACAGCUGUGUCCCUGCCUGUGGCCAGGCUCUUGGCUCUCUGGCUGCCAGCUGAGGGAGGCCCACACUGCCUCAGAGCUCCCUGCUCUGCUCCCUGGCCAUGGGCUGAGCAGAUUGCAGGGCCGGCUCUGCUUCUGGCAGCCAGCAGCUCUUUCCUGCUCCAGGUGAACGGUUCAGGUGCCAUCCUGUGGGCACGGCGGUGCUGAUUCUGCUGCUCCUGGUGCUGGUGCUGGCUUUGGGGGCGGCCGUGGCUGUGCUGGCAGCACCACAGGUUCCAGUCACACCUGUGACUCCGCUGUUGGUUCUGGGCUGUCCCCAUGGCUGGCUGGGUUUCAAUGCGGUCUGCUACGGCUUCUAACUGGAUUGCGGCACGCGGGAGCAGGGUCAGGAACGGUGCUCCAAGCUCAAUGCCUCCCUGGCCAUUGCCAAGGAUGAGGAGGCCAUGGAUUUGCUCUCCCGCCUCUGUGGGAACGGCGAUUUCUGGCUCGGGCUGCGCAGACGGGGCGAGCGCCUGCACUGGGGGGACGGCAGCAGCUACAGCUCCCGGGUUCCUGUCCUUGGCAAUUCCGACUGUGUGUACCUGGCUGAGAGGAGAUUGAGGAGUGACAACUGCUCCAACGAGUGGCCGUAUCUCUGCAGCAAGGCCCAAGCUCCCCUGUAACAGGGGCUGCACAAAGGACCUUCUCCACGCUGGGCAGCGCCAGCUUCACCUCUGAGCCCAGCACAGCGCUGUCCUUCCUCAGCUGCGCCCUGUGCCUUGCACUUCCUCUCAGGGUCACCUCAGUGCCUCUUCAUGCCCAGUGCCAGCGCUGGGCUGGGGCUGCAAAGGAAAAGUCUCUGCAAUCCAUCCUGCGAAGAUGCUGCCUGGAGUGUGAGUGCACUGCCCUCAUGACAUAACCUGCUUGAAUGGGAAAUCCAAAUCGGCCUGGGCCCUUGGGAAUCAUCACUAUGUGGCCAGAAUGGGACACUUUUAGACUGUCUUUGGAAGAGAAAGAAGGACAGCUGACACGUUCCGAGCAGGAAUCCCAUUUUCAGCAUCAGACACCUGACUGUGGGGAGUGGUCUGUCUGUCCUAGGUUGACUAUAUGAUGCUUUUAGCCCCAAUCAUUUUGUUCUGUUUAUGCUGAAUAAGUUUUGCCUCUUUAGGACAUGUUCCAGAGAGUGAAGAGGGGAGAGAAAAGCAUGCUGUUUGUUUUCAGACACUGCUCUCACUCCUCCACAUUCCUGCUCCUGGAAUGUAUUGUCUGUGGAUGGACAGACAACGGGACUGAGCUCUCCUUUGCUUUUAGUUAGUUUAGCUAGCUGAGGCAAUUAAGUUACCUUGACUCUGGGUUUUUUUCCUUUUUCCCCUUUUUCGGACCUGUUUAAACCUGCUCUGGACUGAACACCCAGAAGAGCACCAGCAACUUGCACUGGUGGCCUGCCGGGCUGGGCCUGGGCCACAACAUUUCCUGCACCAGAGGGACUGAUGGGAGAUUCAGUGAGCUGAACUGCAACCUGGGGGGGACUUUCUUUUUUGGAGCAGCAAGGGGUUUAUUGUUUAAUAAAUAUUUUUUUUCCACUUUUCUCCAAGGAGGUAUUUUCUCCCAGACUGGUUGCAGGGAGGGGCCAAAUGAAUCUGCUUUCCUAGAGGAGCCCAAAUUUGCCCUGAACCAGGACACUGUCACAAAGGAUCUGACUGUCCUCCUGUGGGAGGAAUCCCAGGCUGGAGCAGUGUAGGGGGAUAGAAUAUAAGAAAAUAAAGAUGGUGUAGAAAGUAAUCUUACCCCUAAGGAGUUGCAGCUGGGCCAAUUAGCAAAGAUUAGGAACAGGCCUGAUUUUAACAGGCCACAGCUGUAACCAAUGAGAAGAAGAGUGCUAUGAAAGAGUGGG